AAGUUUAUGAAAUUCUGUAGUACCUGA
rnacentral:piRNA from 1 species